rnacentral:rRNA from 1 species
AGUGAACGCUGGCGGUAGGCCUAACACAUGCAAGUCGAACGGCAGCACAGGAGAGCUUGCUCUCUGGGUGGCGAGUGGCGGACGGGUGAGGAAUACAUCGGAAUCUACUUUUUCGUGGGGGAUAACGUAGGGAAACUUACGCUAAUACCGCAUACGACCUACGGGUGAAAGCAGGGGAUCUUCGGACCUUGCGCGAUCGAAUGAGCGGAUGUCGGAUUAGCUAGUUGGCGGGGUAAAGGCCCACCAAGGCGACGAUCCGUAGCUGGUCUGAGGAUGAUCAGCCACACUGGAACUGAGACACGGUCCAGACUCCUACGGGAGGCAGCAGUGGGGAAUAUUGGACAAUGGGCGCAAGCCUGAUCCAGCCAUACCGCGUGGGUGGAGAAGGCCUUCGGGUUGUAAAGCCCUUUUGUUGGGAAAGAAAUCCAGCUGGUUAAUACCCGGUUGGGAUGACGGUACCCAAAGAAUAAGCACCGGCUAACUUCGUGCCAGCCGCCGCCGUAA